rnacentral:rRNA from 1 species
GAUGAACGCUGGCGGCGUGCUUAACACAUGCAAGUCGAACGAAGCACUUUACUACGAUUUCUUCGGAAUGACGGUUUUGUGACUGAGUGGCGGACGGGUGAGUAACGCGUGGAUAACCUGCCUCAUACAGGGGGAUAACAGCCGGAAACGGCUGCUAAUACCGCAUAAGCGCACGGUACCGCAUGGUACAGUGUGAAAAACUCCGGUGGUAUGGGAUGGAUCCGCGUCUGAUUAGCCAGUUGGCGGGGUAACGGCCCACCAAAGCGACGAUCAGUAGCCGACCUGAGAGGGUGACCGGCCACAUUGGGACUGAGACACGGCCCAAACUCCUACGGGAGGCAGCAGUGGGGAAUAUUGGUCAAUGGGCGCAGGCCUGAACCAGCCAAGUCGCGUGAGGGAAGACGGUCCUACGGAUUGUAAACCUCUUUGUCGGGGAGUAACGUGCGGGACGGGUCCCGUAUUGAGAGUACCCGAAGAAAAGCAUCGGCUAACUCCGUGCCAGCAGCCGCGGU